UACGAAGGGGGCAAGCGUUGUUCGGAAUUACUGGGCGUAAAGGGCGCGUAGGCGGCUUAUCAAGUCAGGCGUGAAAUUCCCGGGCUCAACCUGGGGGCUGCGUUUGAUACUGAUGAGCUUGAAUGCGGGAGAGGAUGGUGGAAUUCCCAGUGUAGAGGUGAAAUUCGUAGAUAUUGGGAAGAACACCGGUGGCGAAGGCGGCCAUCUGGCCCGUGAUUGACGCUGAGGCGCGAAAGCGUGGGGAGCAAAC
rnacentral:rRNA from 1 species